rnacentral:rRNA from 2 species
UGGGGAAUAUUGGACAAUGGGCGCAAGCCUGAUCCAGCCAUGCCGCGUGAGUGAUGAAGGCCCUAGGGUUGUAAAGCUCUUUCACCGGUGAAGAUAAUGACGGUAACCGGAGAAGAAGCCCCGGCUAACUUCGUGCCAGCAGCCGCGGUAAUACGAAGGGGGCUAGCGUUGUUCGGAUUUACUGGGCGUAAAGCGCACGUAGGCGGACUUUUAAGUCAGGGGUGAAAUCCCGGGGCUCAACCCCGGAACUGCCUUUGAUACUGGAAGUCUUGAGUAUGGUAGAGGUGGGUGGAAUUCCGAGUGUAGAGGUGAAAUUCGUAGAUAUUCGGAGGAACACCAGUGGCGAAGGCGGCUCACUGGACCAUUACUGACGCUGAGGUGCGAAAGCGUGGGGAGCAAACAGG